UACACACCGCCCGUCACACCAUGAGAGCUGGCUCAACCAGAAGUCGUAUUAGCCAACCGUAAGGGGGCGUACGCCGAAGGUGGGGCUAGUGAUUGGGGUG
rnacentral:rRNA from 1 species